UUUGGCCGCCCCCUCUCUCUUCCUCUCUUCCACUCUUGCUGCCGCCCCAAUCCCUCUCCUUCUUCCCCAAGUGAUUGCAGCGCCGCCCCUCAACCCUAGCCGCCCCCACCUCUUCCUCUUCAAGGUGGAGCCUCCCCGCUUGGUGUCCGUCAUGUGGGUGCGAGUCUUCCAUGGGAGUUUGGAGGGAGGAAGAAGGAAUAAAAGAAGGAGGAAAGGAGGAACCCAAGGUGAUUUUCGUGAUCAUUUUGUUGUAUUUGUGCUGCAAUCCAAUUGGUUACAUGUUUACCUAUGCGAUUUGGUAGAGGUGCUGUCCAGAAAUUUAGUGGAUGGACAAACAGCAGUAGUUCUAGGGAUUUCUGGAAAUUUUUCGUGGGUAAUUAGUGGGGAUCAGUGGGAGAAUCAUGUAGAGCUUUGUCAUACCUUUCCAACAUGUACUUAUGCGCUCGAUUCGGAGUUAUAAUUUAGGAGAUAUCGUUGUUUGAAUCCGGUUAUGUUGCUGUCCAAAAAAACAGAUUUUCAGGUGGGUGAACAGCAGUAGUAUUAGCAGUUUCUGGGCAUUUUUCGUGGGUAAUUAGUGUUAACCAGUAUGAUAAUCAUGUAGGUCUUUGUCUUAUCUUUCCAAUGAGUACUUAUGCGCUUGAUUUGGAAUUAUAUUUUAAAAGAUAUCGCUGUUUGAAUCCGGGUAUGUCGCUGUCCAAAAGACAAAAAAAAAACAGAUUACAGGGUUCAUCUUGUGGACUGUUUUGGGCUAAUUAGAUGUUGGAAUUUAAUUAUAAAUUGUAUACAAAACUUGUGGGGAAUUUUAUGUAUAUGCCUCUGGAGUUUUUGUUUGUUACCACUGCUGUCAUAAGUUUAAAGUUAUGAAAUUAUUAAGUAGCGCCGCUGCAGUUUGGUGGGUGUGGGGAGAGAUGUAACCCGCGGCGGGGUUUGAGUUUGUGCAUGUGCGGCGUUGUUUAUGAGCCUGAUUAUAUGAAAUUGGUGCACUAAGUUGUCUUUCAAAAACAGGUGGUGGACUUCCGGAUCGUACUUAGGGAUUUGCUCGAACUUCCGGUAAAGGCAAGUAAAUACAGUGGUGGUUGCUACCGUUUGGGUUGCAUCCUAAUCCCUGUCAUUGAGUAUGCAUAAGUUUUAAUUAUGUUAAUCAUUGAAUUCUAUGAUGAAGUUUAUUUGUUUGGAAGUAUUAAUUCUCAAUUGUCUAAUAUUGUGGAUGAUCAUAAUUUGGUAAUGAUAUAUGUGGUUGAUUCCCAUCUUGGAUGAAGUUGAAGUAUCUUUUUAAAUCACGUUAUAUGAAGUGUUGUAGGCAUGACAUGCACAUCGCAUCAUCCAUCUUGCAUUUUGAAGUUAUGUCGCGAUCUUAUGGUCCGACCGUACCGGUACAUUUUUAGCAUCGUAUGUUGCCCGAGGAGGGGUACGAUGCGGCUUCAUAUCCUUAGAGGUAUGAAGGCAAAAGUCAUCCUUGCAUUUGCAGACAUUUGCACUCAUGAGGUAUAUAUGAAGUGUGACAUUACUAUGUUACUAUUGUGGUUUCUACCUGUGAGAUGUGGUGACUAGGUGUGUUGUACGUUGUAUACGUGCUGCACCUUCGUAAUAAGAAGGUUGUGGAAUCAAGUGGUGGUAAAACAAUGUUCUUAUGUGGUUAAACAGUUUGAUAUUAUUUUACUUGCUGAGAUGUGUCAUCUCACUCUUGCAUUACUCAAUGUAGGUACUUUAUACAUGCUGGGAAUGAGGGGAGUAGCAGCACGUCCACUUUCACUCUCACAAUAACGCUGCCCAGGCGCAGCCAUGAUUUAAUUAGAAACUUAUUGUCAAAGGAAGUUUGUUUUUUAUCUAGUCGUGCGCACUAGUUAAUUCAGAUCAUGUCGUAUGUUUAACUUCUCUUUGCUAGCCGAUUAAUAAUACUUAGUAUGUUUUUGUCAUGAUAUAUGUUUAUACACUGUUGCCCCCUUAUUUAUGCAAUUUUGCAAAGGGGAUGCUGCCGAAAUUUUAUAUAUGGAUGUCAGAAGUGUUGUUUAGUAGCAUUCCGGGGUGUUUUUGGACCCCGGGGUGUUACAGUUGGUAUCGGAGGAUAGGCUUUAUAUUCUACGCAAUUUGAAGAUAAAUUUGACACACUUGCACAUAUAGGAAGGGUAUGGGUUCGUAUAUCUUUCAUAUUAGUAUUUUAUUGUAUAGAUGACUAGAACUUCCUUACUCCAAAUCCCUUUAUGGUUUGAUGGGGUAUGUCGUUAACGACGUAAUGCUUGAUAUGAUAUGUUACUUCUAUUUAAUAUUGGUUUCUUGAUGUGGUUGUUAUUGAAGAUAUUAUGCAAGUGAAGCUACUAAUGUACUUGUUUUAUAUACAUAUCGUCAUGAUGUUUUUUUUGGGAUGCAAUGUUUUCAAAUCUCUGAGCUAUUACCAUCAUAUAUUUCUAUAUGCUUGACUGUGGAUGUUUUUUCCCAAAAGGAUUCUUGGGUUCUUGUACUUAUAGGACCGAUUGUUUAUUGAGCUUGUGUAUAUUGUGUCUAAUCCGACUUGGUGUAGUGUGAAAACACUAUAUAAUGUAGUUUUAUGGUGUUGUUGAGUUUGAUUGACAGUUGGCAACCCAACUUAUCAAUGUAAUAUUUCCAUGGGUGCAAUGCUUUGCGCCUCACUUUUUUUAGGCUAGUGUGGCUACUUGCUAACUUGAUCUUAGUAUAAAAUUGGUUUGUCUCUAUAGAGCAGAGGCAACGUUGUAAUGUCUAUGAAAUCUUUAGACUGGUAGAACUCGAGUGAAUUUGUGAGAUGAUGUAGAUUGAUAAGUCCAACCAUGUCUACCUGAUAGGUUUUUUUAUUAUGUGCAACCUUAUUUUUAACAAUAAAUAGGGUGGUUUCAAGUGGAUUUUAUGUCGUGCAUGUUUUCCUUCUAUGGCUUGUUUCAAUAGCCAUAAAGGCAAUGCAUAAUUUUUAGUUGUUGCAGGCUAGUCAUGUGGGCGAUAUUGACAACCCGUUUUAUAUAUUUUUUUAUUUGCCAACAUUGUAUGGCAGUUUGAUUUUUUUUUCUAUGAGCAGUUUCUCUAUGCAUGCUUGUUGAAUCAUUAUUUGGACCGCUUUAUCUUAAACGAAGUCAAUGCUUAACUGGGAGUUGCUUAUGUUUGUUAGUCAUCUAUCUCUUUAAUGAUGGGGUUGUUUCAUCGGAUUGAGAUUUUUCUUAUAUGAAUGAUGGUUUGAUAGAUCAUGUAUGUCUACUACUUUGAAUGCAUCCUAUAAUAUCAUGAGCUACAAAUUGUUCAAGUGCAGUAAUAGUAGGAUUUGUUGUAUGCGAGGUUAAUCAAGGUAGUUUGGUUAUGUGGAUUGUCUUAUUGACGUCCAAUUACUCCUGUUGAGCAUAGUAUCGUGUUAUUAUUUUAGUAUUGAAAGUAAUAUUUAUGAAGCUUUUGCAUGAGUCUGUGUCAAGAAGUACAUUAGUUUUCUUGUUGUUAUCCCUCCAUUGCUCUAUGAGUAUUGCAAAUUUUAUCUCUUUUGAGAGGAGGAAAAGACGUUACAUGACAUGAGCACCAUUUGCUUCACGUCAACAGAAUAGUUGUGGAGAGCUCUAAUAGUUGGAUUCUAGUGUAAUAACAACCAUGUUUUAUAGUGCUAGAGACGGGUAUGUCAGGUGUUUCAUACAUUGUCGAUACAUGGAUGUUUGACCUUGGUGGCAUUAACAAACGAGGUUGUUGAAUUCGUUGAUUGUUGUGCUUAGUGUUCUAACCUAUUAGGUAAAGUGUUGCUUAAAGGCUUUGGGGAGUUGCAUCCCCAUUUGGUAGUGGAAAAUCUUAGUGUGGGUCGCACCUGCCAAUGCCUUGGGUUUUAUUUUUAUAUUAUUUUUUUAUUAUGGGUAAGGUGUUGUUUUGUUUUGGGAGUCAUUUUAAAUUAGUUGGAGGCUGAAUCAGGCUUCACUUAUCUAGAAUGUUUUGUAGUAGGUUUCUUCAUCUUUGUAUAGGAUGCUCAAUCACCCAGUUUGGUCUAAACAUUUGAGAGUUAUGGGUUUCCUAUAGCAGCCUUAAUUUUGUACAGAAGUAUAGACAUUGAAUACGGUAAAUUUUGGGUUUUGUUGGAUUAUGAAAGUUUUAGUAAUUUCAUGAUCUCCCCAAAGAGUAUUGGUUUGUAAUUUUCAUUGCAUAUAAUUGGAGUUAGGCUACUCUGAAGUUGUUGCACCAUUGUGUCUGAACUUUAGGUGUCGUUAAAACCACUAAUAAAUCGAUCGCGUUUUGAUAGUUUCAGAGCCCAAAUUUGGGAAUUCUCUUUAAGAAAAACUUUUAUUUUUUCUUAGUACCUUUUAAUGGGUAUUUAUUUGUAAUUGUCUGUUAAAUAGAUUAGGAGAGGUGGUUGUCCGGAUAUAAGUCGAAUCUCUGAUGUGCAGUAUCUUAGGCUGAGUUUAGCUGUAGGUCAUGCAGAGUUGAGGGCUAUAAAGAUAAAUUUGGGUGCAACUUUAUUGCAAAAGUCGUGGAAAAUUUCCAAACUUUUCCAACGCGUGUUCGUUGUAGUUUUAAGAUGAGUAUAGCAGGAGUUAUAGUAUUUUGAAUUUUAGUUGUCCAUUGUUUCUAACCUAUCAGUUUUGCAACAAAGCAGUUGCAUUGUUUUAUUGGUUUGGAAACCAAUUCUGAGACACUCAUUAUAAUAAAAGUUUUAGGGAAUGUUAUAAUCUUUUCAAUGAGUUUAUAUUUGUAAAAUUUUGUUAGAUGCAGAGAGUUAUGAGGUUUUGAAUUUAUGGGUCAUGUUCCGUCAGGUUCUGGUGGCAGAUCAUGUAUGUCGCCUUACAAGUCAAAUUAAAAAAAUGGAGAUAAAAUAAAACUUUGUUUAUCCUUUGAAUACAAAAGUUGUAGGUCAUGAAGUUUAGAUGAUUUUACAAUAUUUCCUUGUUAUCAUUGCUUUUAUAGUGAAAGAGGUAGAGACAGAAUGAGCAUUUGUGCUGUUGAUUGUCAAUUUUCUAUUUAGGGAAAUUUCUUUGGGAGUUUGGUUUAGUUAUGGUGAGCUCUUUCGCAAUCCAUGUUAAUUAUGUUGUAUGGUGGGAAGGAAUAGAUGUAGUGGUUGUGAUAGUUAUCUUGUUAUUGUAUAUGCGGAGCGUGGGCUGAAACAGAGAGAUAGCGAGGGAUAUUUGAAUAGGCCAGUACGUAUUGUUGUGAAGCCAUGUUUUCUGGUCUUGGCAUGUUUGCGUAAGUAUGAAAUAGUUACGUCGUGUGAAGUCUAGGUGGAGAUGCAGAUUGUGUGAGUUAUUGGAUGGAUAUAUAUAUGCAUAGUAUAAUUAAAAAAGAGAGAGUUCUUCGAUGGGAUGAUAUAAUGUAUAGAAUGUGCUUGGAUGGAUAUAUGGGCAGGCAUAGUAUGCUUAAAUCGAUUCUUGCUUGCGUGAGGUGAGAUCAGGCUUAAAAUGAUUUAAAAAGUAAACAUAUUGCUUCUACCCUUAUGUUGGCUCUAAGUGUCUCGUAAUGAAGAACCUAAAGUUAUUAGUCCUUCGAUGAACGCUUAAUCUUAGAAGAGUAUAGAACCUGAAUAAAUCUAUUGCUUGUUGUUUGGGACUACAUGACCAGUUUUGGUUAUGCCGCUAGUUCAAUGAAUUACACCAUGUUUUCGGUAGAAGUGUUGUAUAUAAAAAGUUGUAGCCAACUUCUUCAUCUUACUUGUGUAAAAUUUCAUGACCAUAGGUCUAGUAGUUUGGAGUUAUGAUUUUCUCAAGUCUAGUCUUGGAAUCUGUCCAGAUUCUGUACAGAUUUCGAAACUGACCUUGUUUGCCCAAGUUAAACCUCGAAUCAGUUCUUAUAAAUUAUAAAGAAGUGGUAGUACUUUCCUUAAGCUUUCCAACAAAUUUUGGAUCACCCUUUUUGGUGACCUAUAAGUUAAGCUACAUCUGUUUUAAUUGGAAUCUUUGAAUCUGUCCAAAUUUGGACAGCAAAGCCUUUCUUAUGUCUUUUGAUCUUGAUAUGCAUUGAAUUAACCUGAUAGGUUUAUAAAUAAAAUAUAGACAAUUUUACUGGCUUUCUAAAAAGUCUAGGAGCGCCUGAAUGGGAUGACUGAGACUCUCGUCUUGUUUGUUGCGGAACACCCACUUGGUUCCCACAACGUUUUGCUUGGGACGAGGCACCAGUGUACAAACUUCAUUUCUCUUGAAGUUGUUGAGCUCUUCCUGCAUGGCCAACACCCAGUCCGGAUCUAGCAAGGCCUCUUCUACCCUGAAAGGCUCAAUAGAAGAGACAAAAGAGUAAUGCUCACAAAAAUUAACUAAUCUAGAGCGAGUAGUUACUACCUUGCUAAUAUCACCCAAAAUUUGGUCGACGGGAUGAUUCCUUUGAAUCGUCGCUCGAACUUGAGUUGGAGGUGCCAGUUGUGCUUCUUCCUCCAUUACAUGAUCAUCUUGUGCUCCCCCUUGAUCACAUGCCUCCUCUUGAUGAACCUGUUCAUCGUCUUGAGUUGGGGGAUGCACCAUUGUUGAGGAAGAAGGUUGAUCUUGUUCCUUUUGUUCCUGUGGCCGCACAUCUCCAAUCGCCAUGGUGCGUAUUGCGGCCGUUGGAACGUCUUCUUCAUCUACAUCAUCAAGAUCAACAACUUGCUCUCUUGGAGAGCCAUUAGUCUCAUCAAAUACAACGUCGCUAGAGACUUCAACCAAACCCGAUGAUUUGUUGAAGACCCUAUACGCCUUUGUAUUUGAGUCAUAACCUAACAAAAACCCUUCUACAACUUUGGGAGCGAACUUAGAAUUUCUACCUUUCUUUACUAGAAUAUAACAUUUGCUCCCAAAUACACGAAAGUAUGAAACAUUGGGUUUGUUACCGGUUAGAAGCUCAUACGAAGUCUUCUUGAGGAGGCGAUGAAGGUACACCCGGUUUAUGGCGUGGCAAGCCGUGUUCACGGCUUCCGACCAAAACCGCUCGGGUGUCUUGAAUUCUCCAAGCAUUGUCCUCGCCAUGUCUAUGAGCGUCCUGUUCUUCCUCUCUACAACACCGUUUUGCUGUGGUGUGUAGGGAGUGGAGAACUCGUGCUUGAUCCCUUCCUCCUCAAGGUACUCCUCCACUUGAAGGUUCUUGAACUCGGACCCGUUGUCGCUCCUUAUCUUCUUCACCUUGAGCUCAAACUCAUUUUGAGCUCUCCUUAGGAAGCGCUUGAGGGUCCCUUGGGUUUCAGAUUUAUCCUGCAAAAAGAAUACCCAAGUGAAGCGGGAAAAAUCAUCAACUAUAACAAGACCAUACUUACUUCCUCCUAUGCUUAAAUAGGCGACGGGUCCGAAGAGGUCCAUAUGAAGCAACUCCAAAGGUCUUGAUGUGGUCAUCACAUUUUUGGUAUGAUGAGAGCUUCCCACUUGUUUACCUGCUUGACAAGCUGCACAAGGUCUAUCUUUUUCGAAGGUUACGUUUGUUAGACCUAUCACGUGUUCUCCCUUUAGAAGUUUGUGAAGGUUCUUCAUCCCCACAUGUGCUAAACGGCGAUGCCACAGCUAGCCCAUGCUAGUCUUAGUAAUUAAGCAUGCAUCUAGACCGGCCUCCUCUUUUGCAAAAUCAACUAAAUAGAGUUUGUCGUCUAAUACACCCUUAAAAGCUAAUGAACCAUCACUCCUUCUAAAGACGGACACAUCUACAUUUGCGAAUAAGCAAUUAUAUCCCAUAUUACAAAGCUGACUCACAGACAAUAAGUUAUAUCCAAGCGACUCAACUAAAAACACAUUAGAAAUAGAGUGCUCGGAUGAAAUGGCAAUCUUCCCUAGUCCUUUGACCUUGCCUUGAUUCCCGUCACCGAAUAUGAUUGAGUCUUGGGAAUCCUUGUUCUUGACAUAGGAGGUAAACAUCUUCUUCUCCCCGUCAUGUGGUUUGUGCAUCCGCUAUCGAUAAUCCAGCUUGAUCCCCCGGAUGCAUAAACCUGCAAGGCAAUUUAGGCUUGGGUCUUAGGUACCCAACUCUUGUUGGGUCCUACAAGGUUAGUAACAAUGGUCUUAGGGACCCAAAUGCAAGUUUUAUCUCCCUUGCAUUUUGCCCCUAAUUUUCUAGCAAUCACCUUCUUAUCCUUUCUACAAAUUUCAAAGGAAGCAUUGCAAGCAUGAUAAAUUGUAGAAGGUUCAUUAAUUUUCCUAGGAACAUUAGCAACAUUUCUCCUAGGCAUAUGAUGAAUGACAUUUCUCCUAGGAAUAUCUCUACCAUGCACAUAGGAAGAACUUGAAGCAAACAUGGCAUUCGAAACAUUACAACUCCUAUGAACAUUUCUAGAAUAUCCCUUAUCACCAUAAAUGAAAGCAUGAUUCUUUUGACUACUAUUAGUCAUAGGAGCCUUCCCUUUCUCCUUGGCGGGAAUGGGAGCCUUAUGACUUGUUAAGUUCUUGGCUUCCCUCUUGAAGCCAAGCCCAUCCUUAAUUGAGGGGUGUCUACCAAUAGUGUAGGCAUCCCUUGCAAAUUUUAGUUUGUCAAAUUCAUUCUUGCUAGUCUUAAGUUGGGCAUUAAGACUAGCCACUUCAUCAUUUAACUUUGUAAUAGAUACUAGGUGUUCACUACAAGCAUCAACAUUAAAAUCUUUACACCUAUUGCAAAUUACAACAUGUUCUACACAAAAGUUAGAUCUAUUUGCUACUUCUAGUUUAGCAUUUAAAUCAUUAUUAACACUUUUUAAACUAGAAAUGGUCUCAUGGCAAGUAGAUAGUUCACAAGAAAGCAUUUCAUUCCUUUUAACUUCUAAAGCAAGAGAUUUUUGUGCCUCUACAAAUUUAUCAUGUUCUUCAUACAAAAGAUCCUCUUGCUUUUCUAGCAAUCUAUUCUUAUCAUUCAAGGCAUCGAUUAAUUCAUUAAUCUUAUCAAUCUUAGUUCUUUCUAAGCCCUUGAACAAACUAGCAUAAUCUAUUUCAUCAUCGCUAGAUUCAUCAUCACUAGAAGAAGCAUAAGUAGUCUUUCGAGUGUUUACCUUCUCCUUUGCCAUGAGGCAGGUGUGAUGCUCAUUGGGGAAGAGGGACGAUUUGUUGAAGGCUGAGGCGGCGAGUCCUUCGUUGUCGGAGUCGGAUGACGAACAAUCCGAGUCCCACUCCUUGCCAAGGAGGCAAGAUACGUUGAUGAUCAAGGAGGCAAGAUACGUUGAUGAUCCAUCUCUUCGGGCGAUUAGUCCCUUCAUGAAGAGAACAACUCCGAUACCAAUUGAGAGCACCUAGAGGGGUGGUGAAUAGGUGAUCCUGUAAAAACUUGAAACUUAAUGCCACAAAACUUGAUUAGGAGUUAGCACAAUAAAGUCAAGUGGCUAGAGAGGAGUUCUUGCAAGACACGAUAACCACAAGAAGAUCAACACAGAUAGGCACAGUGGUUUAUCCCGUGGUUCCGCCAAGUCCAACACUUGCCUACUCUAUGUUGUGGUGUCCCAGCGGACGAGGGUUGCAAUCAACCCCUCUCAAGCGGUCCAAAGACCCACUUGAAUACCACGGUGUUUUGCUUUGUUUUACUAUAUGCCACUUGCGAGGAAUCUCCACAACUUGGAGCCUCCCGCCCUUACAAUUUGAUGUUCACAAAGAAGCACGGAAGUAAGGAUGGGAUGAGCAACGCACACAAGACACAAAAUCAGAGCACAAACACGCACACAAGUCACAACUCGAGCUUACAACACAACCCGAGGAGUUCUCUACUCAAAUGGAGCUCUAGUUGCUAUCACAAAGAAUCGAAUGCACGGAAUUGGAGUCUUGGUGGUUAGGAAUGCUUAGAGAAUGCUUGGUGACAUCCUCCAUGCGCCUAGGGGUCCCUUUUAUAGCCCCAAGGCAGCUAGGAGCCGUUGAGAGCAUUCCAGGAAGGCAAUUCUUGCCUUCUGUCGCCUGGCGCACCCGACAGUCCGGUGCACCACCGGACACGUACUGUACGGUGCGGAUUUCUUUCCUAUUUUGGCGCAGCCGACCGUUGGAGAUUCAGAGCCGUUGGCGCACCGGACACUGUCCGGUGCACACUGGACAGUCCGGUGCCCCCUUCUGACCGUUGGCUCUGCCACGCGUCGCGCGCGAAUUACGCGGCCGACCGUUGGCCCGGCCGACUGUUGGCUCACCGGACAAUCCGGUGCACCACCGGACAGUACGGUGAUUUAUAGCCGUACGCCGCCGACGAAACCCGAGAGCAGCCAGUACGCCAGAGCCAGCCUGGCGCACCGGACAGUCCGGUGCACCCAGACUGCGCAGAGUCUUGGCUGCUAAGCCAAGUCUUUUCCAAAUUGGUCUUUUCCUGUUUCUAGCACUUAGACACAAUACAUUAGUCUCCAAAACAAUGUACUAAGUCUUAGAAACAUACCUUUACUCUUGAUUUGCACUUCUUAAGUAUUUGGCACAAAUAUUACUCAAAGCAUUUGUGUGGUUUACUUAAUCACCAAAAUCUUAUAGAAAUGUCCCAAGGGUACAUUUCUCUUUCAGCAUUCACCAGUAAAACAGUAGAUUACUUGUUGGAUUUGUGCGCUGGGGUUAGGAGCAGACGUGAGAGCAAGUUUGGGCCCUGGAUCUCGAUCCGGCGGUGGGGAGCCCAUUAGUUCCCCCCCUUAACCCUAGCCGCCCCUCCCUCUCACUUCCCCACCCCUUUGGCCGCCCCCUCUCUCUUCCUCUCUUCCACUCUUGCAGCCGCCUCAAUCCCUCUCCUUCUUCCCCAAGUGAUUGCAGCGCCGCCCCUCAACCCUAGCCGCCCCCCACCUCUUCCUCUCCAAGGUGGAGCCUCCCCGCUUGGUGUCCGUUGUGUGGGUGCGAGUCUUCCAUGGGAGUUUGGAGGGAGGAAGAAGGAAGAAAAGAAGGAGGAAAGGAGGAACCCAAGGUGAUUUUAGUGAUCAUUUUGUUGUAUUUGUGCUGCAAUCCAAUUGGUUACAUGUUUACCUAUGCGAUUUGGUAGAGGUGCUGUCCAGAAAUUUAGUGGGUGGACGAACAACAGUAGUUCUAGGGAUUUCUGGGAAAUUUUCGUGGGUAAUUAGUGGGAGAAUCAUGUAGAGCUUUGUCAUACCUUUCCAACGAGUACUUAUGCGCUCGAUUCGGAGUUAUAAUUUAGGAGAUAUCGUUGUUUGAAUCCGAUUAUGUUGCUGUCCAAAAAAAAACAGAUUUUCAGGUGGGUGAACAGCAGUAGUAUUAGCAGUUUCUGGGAAUUUUUCGUGGGUAAUUAGUGUUAACCAGUAUGAGAAUCAUGUAGGUCUUUGUCUUAUCUUUCCAAUGAGUACUUAUGCGCUUGAUUUGGAAUUAUAUUUUAAAAGAUAUCACUGUUUGAAUCCGGGUAUGUCGCUGUCCAAAAGACAAAAAAAACAGAUUACAGGGUUCAUCUUGUGGACUGUUUUGGGCUAAUUAGAUGUUGGAAUUUAAUUAUAAAUUGUAUACAAAACUUGUGGGAAUUUUAUGUAGAUGCCUCUGGAGUUUUUGUUUGUUACCACUGCUGUCAUAAGUUUAAAGUUAUGAAAUUAUUAAGCAGCGUCGCUGCAGUUUGGUGGGUGUGGGGAGAGAUGUAACCCGCGGCAGGGUUUGAGUUUGUGCGUAGGUGCGGCGUUGUUUAUGAGCCUGAUUAUGUGAAAUUGGUGCACUAAGUUGUCUUUCAAAAACAGGUGGUGGACUUCCGGAUCGUACUUAGGGAUUUGCCCGAACUUCCGGUAAAGGCAAGUAAAUACAGUGGUGGUUGCUACCGUUUGGGUUGCAUCCUAAUCCCUGUCAUUGAGUAUGCAUAAGUUUUAAUUAUGUUAAUCAUUGAAUUCUAUGAUGAAGUUUAUUUGUUUGGA
rnacentral:lncRNA from 1 species